rnacentral:lncRNA from 1 species
GUUGCCUUACACACUAUGCAAGCUUUGCUGUUUGCAGUAAAACUGGCUGCUGCUUGCUCUUUGGGUCCACACUGACUUUAUGAGCUGUAGCACUCACCAUGAAGGUUUGUAGCUUUACUCUUGAAGCCAGUGAGAUUAAAAACCCACCGGGAGGAACAAACAACUCCAGUACGCGCCGCCUUAGGAGCUGUAACACUCACGGCGAAGGUCUGCAGCUUCACUCCUGAGCCAGCCGCACCACGAACCUAUCAGAAGGAAGAAACUCCGAACACAUCCGAACGUCAGGAACAAACUCCGGCCACGCCGCCUUUAAGAACUGUAGAACUCGCUACAGCACUCACCGUGAAGGUCUGCGAUUUCAUUCUUGAAGUCAGUGAGACCAAGAACCCACCAAGUCCGGACACAAUGGGACCUGUAUGCAGUCUAUGGGGCAGUUCAGACCAAAGGGCUGGGCGUGGCACCACAGCUGCCCCGAGCCCUUGGCCUCUCUGAGCUUUUCUCUCUCACCUGAGAAAUGGGAUUUCAAGGAAAAUGAGUAGCGGUAACUUACCCACCUUACUCCACGGUUACUGUGAAGCGCCCAGAAGAGAAGCCAUGGAUGUGGGCGACGCAUUCGAGAGCACAGCGCUGGGCUCCAGCCCUGAUGCAGAGGUACAAAGCUCGUCUGGGCAGAUUGUUAUGCAAAUCAAAAGAGGAAGCAGAGCUAGGGGAGCCGAGGAGCUCCUGCUGGGCUCUGCCAGGGAAGAAGCCGCAGUAGGAGCCCCUACGUAGGCCCUGCAAGAGGCCUGGCGUUCAGGAAAGGGCCCGCUGACCAUCCAGUGCAGGGAAAGGAGUCCAGCUCUGGCCUCUGCCCCUCAGCUCCACCUCCUGCAUUCCUAGGAGUUCUCCAGAGGAUCUGAUGGGAGCUCAGAACCGGUCCCAACAGCUCCCUCCACCCUUCAUGAACGGGGGCUGGAAAAUGUGGUCUGCUCUGAUAAGGAUUUGCGUCAGGCUACUGGCUACUCAGCAGCCGAGAAGAGCAAGCCUCCAGGCCUCUGCACGCGUGCCUUCUGCCCGAGACGAUGGAUUCAUGGAGUUACUGUGAGGAAGACACUCAGCAUCGUGCCUGGUAUCGUGUGUGCUUCAUAAACGCCAGCCAUAGCAUGAUUCUUUAUAAAGGCACCAGCUGCAUUUAUGGAGUAAAUGCCUUUCUUGUGUCAUCUCGCUUGACUGGCAAAGCCAUAAGGCCAGGUGAGGAAGAUGAGGCAGGGGAUGAAGAGGAUAUAACACGUAGGAGGUGAAGUCACUAACCCAAAUCCUUGCAGCCGGCAAGUGGUCAGAAUUCUUGGACCAGGUGUGAGGCCUUAAGAGAACAAGCUAGCCCAGGGCUUGGCAUGAAGUAGGUGCUUAAUAAAGAUUGGUUUUAGCCAGGCGCAGUGGCUCAUGCCUGUAAUCUCAGCACUUUGGGAGGCUGAAGCAGGAGGAUCACUUGAGCCCAGGAGUUCCAGACCAGCCUGGGCAACACGGCUAAUCCCUGUCUCUACUAAAAAUACAAAAAGAUUAGUCGGGUGUGGUGGCGCGUGCCUGUAAUCCCAGCUACUCGGGAGGCUGAGGCAGGAGAAUAGCUUGAACCUGGGAGGUAGACUUUGCAAUGAGCCAAGAUCGCACCACUGCACUCCAGCCGGGGCAACAGAGCAAGACUGUCUCAAAAAAAAAAAAAAAAAAAAAAAAAAAAAGACUGGUUUCUACCAUGCCUCCCUCCUCCCUCCUUCCCAUUCAGCCCAGAGGUUCUGGCAGGGCAGACAGAGCUCCAGGCCAAGGACCCCCAGGUGGAUGUACAGAGCAGACCCAGGCUGAGCCCAAUCUUUCCACCCUGCAGUUCAGCUCCUCCCUCCCCUUUCUCUUCCCAGUCUUCCUGAACCUGCACCUGGCCUCUCUGCACACCCCCGCGUUAUUUGGGGAUGUAAGAACUCAGGGUUCCCUCCCUUAUUACUUCUCCUUGUCCAUCCUGGUGAUAGUGCUUGACUCUCAACACACAAAAGGGGCUUUAAAAUGAUCCUUUGAAAAAAUAAUUUUUUUGCUGGGCACAGUGGCUCACGCCUGUAAUCCCAGCUCUUUGGGAGGCCAAGACAGGCGGAUCACCUGAGGUUGGGAGUUCAAGACCAGCCUGAUCAACAUGGAGAAACCCCGUCUCUACUAAAAAUACAAAAUUAGCUGAGCGUGGUGGUGCAGCUCUUCGGGAGGCUGAGGCAGGAGAAUCGCUUGAACCCAGGAGGCGGAGGUUGCAGUGAGCCGAGAUCAUGCCAUUGUACUCCAGCCUGGGCAACAAGAGUGAAACUCUGUCUCAAAAAAAAAAAAAAAAAAGAAAGAAAAAAAAGAAAAAAUAAUUCUUUAAAACUCUUUUUUAGAGACAGGGUCUCACUCCAUCACCCAGGCUGGAUGUCAUCAUAGUUCACUGUAACCUUGAACUUCUGGGCUCAAGCAAUUCUCCAGCCUCAGACUCCUGAGUAGCUGGGACCACAGGCGCAUACCACCACGCCUGGCUAAAACUGGUUCCUUUUUUUUUUUUUUGAGACAGUGCCUUGUCCUGUCCCCCGGGCUGCAGUGCAAUGGCACAAACACUGCCCACUGCAGCCUUGACCUCCUGGGCUCAAGCGAUCUUCCCCUACAGCCUCCUGAGUAGCUGGCACCACAGGCACGUGCCACCAUGCCUGGCCAAAUUUUUUUUUUUUUUUUGUAGGGAUGGAGUCUCACUAUGUUGCCCAAGCUGGUCUCAAUCUCCUGGGCUCAAGCCAUCCUCCUGCCUUGGCCUCCCAAAGUGCUGGGAUUAAAGGCAUGAGCCACCGUGCCCAGCCUAAAAAUGGUCUUGAUUCAAUGAGUGAGUAAAUGAAGCCUGUGCCCAGGGCCUGCCAGGCCCCCUGGGGCUGCCCACAGGGUAAACACAGACCCACACGGAGCCCCACUCCAGGCCUGGUCGAAAAAAAUGCUGCUCCAGCUGAAGGCUUUCUCAGAGAAAUGACUCAGCCUGAGCACUCAGAUGCAACUUCCACGUUUUAUGGACUGAAGGUGCUUUCAUAACAGCUGGUGAUGAUGAGCCAGAGGCGGGCUAUAAACAGAGCGGUGAUCUGGUCCUGAACACUCAGGUCUCAGCCCCCACCCACAAGCAGGGCCUCUGAGGCUGUGGCUUCUCCACACUGGUGCUGCUUUGUGCUGGCAAAUAGCACAGGCCCCCAAAAUGACCUGGAGGCUCCUUAACUGAGGAGGCAGAUGAGUGACAGGGCCAGACCUGCAGCCUCAAGGGCCUGGCUGUGCCCUCCCUAGCUCCCUUGGGCCUGGGAGCCUUCCAUGAACCUGUGGCCUGGGACCAAGAGCAUGGGGGGCCUAGUGAUGUGCCUGGUGGGGAGCGGGGAGUGCUGCCAGCAAUGACAGUCCCGCUGGGGGGACGUGGUACAGACUCACUGAGACACAGAACCCUGUGAGCAAGGGGGGUUCACUUAAUCCUCCCUGAGGACUCAGACAGGUGGGCUGCAGGCAGUGGGGUAGCCUUGCCUCUCACUCAUGCCCACCCACCCAUUUGCUCAUUCAUUCAGACAAGCGUGGAUUGAGUAUUUUCUUUUUUUUUCUUUUAAAGACAGGGUUUUGCUCUGUCGCUCAGGCUGAAGUGCAGUGGCAUGAUCUCAGCUCACUACAGCCUCAUCCUCCCAGGCUCAACCGAUCCUCCUGCCUCGGCCUCUCAAAGUAUUGGGAUUACAGGCGUGGCCCACGCCUGGUGAAUUGAGCACUUUCUUUCUUUUUCUUUUUUUUUUUUUUUUUUUUGAGAUGGAGUCUCACUCUGUCAUCCAGGCUGGAGUGCAGUGGCAUGACCUCGGCUCACUGCAACUUCUGCCUCCCGGGUUCAAGUGAUUCUCCUGCCUCAGUCUCCCAAGUAGCUGGGAUUACAGGCACCCACCACCACGCCCGGCUAGUUUUGUAUUUUUAGUAGAGAUGGGGUUUUACCAUGUUGGCCAGGCUGUUCUUGAACUCCUGACCUCAGGUGAUCCAUCCGCCUCGGCCUCCCAAAGUGUUAGGAUUACAGGCGUGGGCCACUGCGCCUGGCAAAUUGAGCACUUUCUUUUUUUUUUUUUGAGACCGGGUCUUGCUCUGUCACCAGGCUGGAGUGCAGUGGCCCAAUCUCAGCUCACUGCAACCUCCACCUCCCAGGUUCAAGCGAUUAUCCUGCCUCAGCCUCCAAGUAGCUGGGAUUACAGGCACGCGCCAUCACGCCCGGCUAAUUUUUUGUAUUUUAGUAGAGACAGGGUUUCACCGUGUUAGCCAAGAUGGUCUCGAUCUCCUAACCUCAUGAUCCACCCACCUUGGCCUCCCAAAGUGCUGGGAUUACAGAUGUGAGCCACCGUGCCCUGCCAAAUCGAGCACUUUCUAAGUGCCCACCUGUCAGCGUCACCCCAGGCUUUCCCAUCUCAGCCCGUGGCUCCACUCUCCUCUAGCUACUUUGGCCAAAAACCACAGAGUCAUCUUGGAUCCCAAUUUUUGCUUCACCCCCACAUCCAAUCUUUCGGCGAGUCCCGUCUGCUUUACCUCGGCACAUCAUCAGUGCGCUCAGUGCACUUCCCAGCCACCUCCCACGCUGGGCUGCUAACCUUCUGCCAGGUCACCAUAGCUACCACCAGCUCCUCCUGACCCUUUGGCCUUGGUCUCUAAAACCCAUUCUCCUCUCAUCAGAGUGACCUCAUCCCAGCAUCAUUCUGACCAUUUCUCAUCUUAAAGUCCUCAAAAGGGUCCUAUCAGAUAUUAACAAUUUUUAAAGAAAUUAAGACAGAAUGGCUUUGGCAUCUGGCUAUUAAAAAAAAAGGGUAGGGGGGGCCGAGUGCGGUGGCUCAUGCUUGUAAACCCAGAACUUUGGGAGGCCAAGGUGGGAGGGUCCCUUGAGCCCAGGAGUUCGAGACCAGCCUGGGCAACACAGAGAGACCCUGUCUUUACAAAAACAAAAUUAGCUGGGUGUGGCGGCACAUGCCUGUAGUCCUAGCUACUUGGGAGACUGAGGUGGCAGGAUCACUUGAGCCUGGGAGGUUGAGGCCGCGGUGAGCUGAGAUCAUGCCACUGCACUCCGGCCUGGGUGACAGAGUGAGAGCCCAUUUAAAAAUGAAAAAUAAAGGGAAAAAAAAGGACAGAACAGGAGUCCCGGAGACAGAACCUUGCAUAAAUGAGAAUUUGCCGUAUGACAGAGAAGCAUCACCAACCAGUGGGGAAAAGAUAGACUCUUUUAUAAAUGGCGUUGGGACAAGUGGUGAUCCAUAUGGGAAAGUAAAAUUAGAUCCCCACCUAACACCACACACACAACUCCAGGUGGAUUCAGGACUUACAUGUGAAUAACAAAAUUUUAACACAUUUAGAAGAAAAUAUAGAAGAAUAUUUUUAUGACCUCAGGGUAAGGAACAAUUUCUUUUUUAAAUAAACUUUUUGUUUGAUUACAACAUGCAUAGUGUACAAGUCAUAAGGGUGCCGCUUGAUGAAAUUUCACAGUGACCCCAGCUGUGUAGCCAGCAUCCAGAUCAACAAGCGGGAUGUAAGGCCAGGCACGGUGGCUCACUCCUGUAAUCCCAACACUUUGGGAGGCCGAGGAGGGCGGAUCAGAAGGUCAGGAGUUUGAGACCAGCCUGGCCAAUAUGGUGAAACCCCGUCUCAACUAAAAAUACAAAAAUUAGCCCGGCAUGGUGGCACACACCUGUAGUCCCAGCUACUUGGGAGGCUGUGGCAGAAGAAUCGCUUGAACCCUGGAGGCGGAGUUUGCAGUAACCCGAGAUCGUGCCACUGCACUCCAGCCUGGCGAAAGGGCGAGAAUCCGUCUAAAAAAAAUAAAAAUAAAAAACACAACAACAAAUGGGACAUAGCCAGUGCCUUCCAAAGCCCCCACGUGCCUCUUUUUUUCUUUCUUUUUUUUUUUUGUUUGAGACGGAGUCUUGCUCUGUUGCCCAGGCUGGAGUGCAGUGGCAUGAUCUCGGCUCACUGAAACCUCCGCCUCCUGGAUUCAAGCAACUCUCCUGCCUCAGCCUCCUGAGUAGCUGGGACUACAGGCACACACCACCAUUCCUGGCUAAUUCUUUUUUUAUUUUUAGUAGAGACGGGGUUUCACCAGUUGGCCAGGAUGGUCUCGAUCUCCUGACCUCAUGAUCCACCCGCCUCAGCCUCCCAAAAUGCUGGGAUUGCAGGUGUGAGCCACCACACUCAGCCUUCUUUUUUUUUUUUUUUUUUUUUUUUUGAGACGGAGUUUUGCUCUUGUUGCCCAGGUUGGAGUGCAAUGGCACGGUCUCGGCUCACCGCAGCCUCCCCUUCCUGGGUUCAAGUGAUUCUCCUGCCUCAGCCUCCCCAGUAGCUGGGAUUACAGGCAUCCGCCACCACACUCGGCUAAUUUUUUUUUUUUUUCUUUAGUAGAGACAGGGUUUCUCCAUGUUGGUCAGGCUGGUCUCAAACUCCCGAUGCCAGGUGAUCCUCCCGCCUCAGCCUCCCAUAGUGUUGGGAUUACAGGCGUGAGCCACCGUGCCCAGCCUUUUUUUUCUUUUCUUUUCUUUUUUUUGAGAUGGAGUCUCACUCUGUUGCCCAGGCUGGAGUGCAAUGCAAUGGCGUGAUCUCAGCUCACUACAACCUCUACCUCCCGGAUUCAAGCGAUUCUCCUGUCUCAGUCUCCCAAGUAGCUGGGAUUACAGGUGUGUUCUACCACGCCCAGAUAAUUUUUGUAUUUUUAGUAGAGACAGGGUUUCACCAUGUUGGCCAGGCUGGUCUUGAACUCCUGACAUCAAGUGAUCCACCUGCCUCAGCCUCCCAGAGUGCUGAGAUUACAGGUGUGAGCCACGGCACCCAGCUCCUCAUGCCUUUUGACAGGAAAGAGUAUCUUAGGCACAAAAGGUAUCAGCUACAAUGGAAAAAAAUUGAUGAGUCUGAUGAUAUUGACAUUUAAAUCUUAAGUUCAACAAAAAAAAAUGCCACAAGAUUAAAGGAUACGUACAGCUGAGCACCAUGACUCGUAUCUGUAAUCCCAGCAUUUUGGGAGACUGAGGCAGGCAGAUUACUUGAGCUGAGGAGUUUGAGACCAGCCUGGGCAACAUGGCAAAACUCUGUCUCUACAAAAAAUACAAAAAUUAGCCAGGUGUGGUGGCGUAUGCCUGUAGUCCCAGUUACUUGGAAGGCUGAGGUGGGAGAAUCACUGGAACCUGGGAGGCAGAGGUUGCAGUGAGCUGAGACUGGGCCACUGCACUCCAGCCUGAGUGACAGAGCAAGACCCUGUCUCAAAAAUAAAUAAAUAAAUAAAUAAAUAAAUAAAUAAAUAACAGAUAUGCACAAUAUGGAGGAAAUAUCUGCAAUAUAAUCAGCAAAUUGGUAUCCAGAAUAUGUAAAGGUCUUCUGCAAAUCAAGAAGAGAGACAACCAACCCAACAGAAAAUUUGGCACAGGUUAUGAACCUUAUAGGAAAAAAAAGCCUAGAUGGCCAAUAAUCAUAUGAAAAAGAGGCUCUGGGCUGGGCAUGGUGGUUCAUGUCAAUAAUCCCAGCAAUUUGGGAGGCCAAGGUGGGAGGAUCACUUGAGUCCAGGAGCUGGAGAACAGACUGGGCAGCAAAGUGAGACCUCGUCUCUACAGAAAACAAAAUAAUUAGCCGGGCAUGAUGGUGCAUGCCUGUAGUCCCAGCUACUCUGGAGGCUAAAGCAGGGGGAUGGAUUGAAUCCAGCAGAUGGAGGCUACAGUGACCUAUGAUCAUGCCACUGCAUUCCAGCUUGGGCAGCAGAGUGAGACCCUGCCUCAAAAACAGAAAAAGUCUCUGUCUCAAUAGUAUCAGAGACAUGUAAAUUUUUUUUUGAGAUAGUCUCACCCUGUUGCCCAGGCUGGAGUGUACUGGUGCAGUCUCAGCUCACUGCAACCUCCACCUCCUGGGUUCAAGCAAUUCUCCUGCCUCAGCCUCCCAAGUAGCUGGGAUUACAGGUGUGCACCACCACGCCUGGCUAAUUUUUGUAUUUUUAGUAGAGACGAGGUUUUGCCAUGUUGGCCAGGCUGGUCUCGAACUCCUGACCUCAAGUGAUCCACCCACAUUAGCCUCCCAAAGUGCUGGGAUUACAGGCGUGAGCCACUGCGCCUGGCUGAGAAAGGUAAAUUAAAACAACAAGGAGAUAUUAUGUCUCACCCAUCAGAUAAUUUAAAAUGGAAGAAAACAUAAAAGCUGAUAUUAUUAAAUGUAGACCCAAAUGAGACUCCUUAAAAACACCAGCUCUGGGCUGGGCGCGGCGGCUCAUGCCUGUAAUCCCAACACUUUGGGAGGCCGAUAUGGGUGGAUCACGAGGUCAGGAGAUGGAGACCAUCCUGGCUAACACCGUGAAACCACAUCUCUCCUAAAACUACAAAAAAUUAGCCCAGCAUGGUGGCACGCACCUGUAGUCCCAGCUACUCGGGAGGCUGAGGCAGGAGAAUCACUUAAACCGCAGAGGCAGAGGUUGCAGUGAGCCAAAAUCACAUCAUUGCACUCCAGGCUGGGCAAAAGAGCAAGACUUCGUCUCAAACAAACAGACAAACAAAUAAAAACCCACCAGCUCUGGAGAAGAUUGGUAAAGCCACUUGGAAGUGACACAAAAUGGCAGCUUGAAGGUCAGGUCAAGAUCAGGGUGAAGGUGAGAACAUCUGUGAGCAUUCCUCUUCCAGGCAGAGACUCUACAGAAGCUCUAUGAGCAUCCCAGGAGGAAGAAAUUGGAAACGUCAUCAAGGAGAUACACAAGGUAUGAUACACUCAUACAAUGGAAAAUGGCCGGACAAAUGAAAGAAACAACAUCAAAGUGAAUUAUCAUAAGAUACACCAAGCAGGGCCAGGGUGGGGCCAGGUCCACCUCUCCUGUUGCCCAAUCUUGAAGGUGGCAGAGGACCUUUGAGGCACCUUGCUGGCCCACUGAGGAGCUGUGGCCGAGGCACACGCCCAUCAGGGCUGACUCCUUGCUGGGAACUGGGUCAGGUGGAUGGACGUGGUGACGAGCAACAGUGAGGUUUCCCCCACAUCCUUUCACCUGCCCUGCUGCGUCUGCUGCUGAGUCAGGAUCCAUCUGGGGAGCCACCGUGGGACACUCUCCCCUAUGGGAGAGUGGUAAGGUUCUGGAGUAACACAUGGGACUGGAAAUGUUUCUGUGGCCAUUUUUAUUUUUAUUUAUUUUUUUAAGACAGAGUCUUGCUCUGUUGCUCAGGCUGGAGUGCAGUACUGUGAUCUCAGCUCACUGCAACCUCUGCCUGUGGGAGUUCAAGCAAUUCUUCUGUCUCAGCCUCCCAAGUAGCUGGGAUUACAAGCACCCACCACCACGCCUGGCUAAUUUGUGUAUUUUUAGUAGAGAUGGGGUUUCACCAUGUUGGCUAGUCUGGUGUCAAACUCCCGACCUCAGGUGAUCUGCCCAUCUGAGACUCCCAAAGUGCUGGGAUUACAGAGCUGAGUGACAGAGUGAGACUCUGUCAAAAAAAAAAAAAAAAAAAAAGAAAGGAAGGAAGAGAAAUAGAAAGAAAGAAAGAAAAAGAAAGAAAGAAAGAAAAGAAAGAAAGAAAAGCUGGAAUGAGUCAGGGCAGAAUCAUAGAAUGUCUGGGUGUGAAUCCUGGCUUCCCUCCUUUCCAGUGAAGCAACCUUGGGCGAGUGGCUUGACCACUCUGUGCCUGUUUCCUCACCUGUAGCAGUUAGGAAUGCAUUUGGCUGCAGGUAACUGCAGAGCUCCAACCUCCCGCAAAACAGCAGCUUUGUUCAUUUCAUCUUGAAAAGCUCAGCCAUGUGCGGUUGCUGGUUUUGGUUCAGGAGGUCAGAGAGAGGAUUCAUCAUCUUUGUCUUUUUUCUUAGAAAAACCUGUUUACCUGAAGACUUCCCCUCAAUGUCACUGCCAAAGGGAAGCCUUGCAACCAGGCUGCCGGUUGCACGGAUCCAACAUUUGCUCUGUGGGUCUCAGCCUGGGUCAAACUCACACCUCUAAGGGAUGUUUGGAAAUGUGUGGAGUCAUUUUGGGUUGUCACAAUGAUUUAGCUGCAAUGCAUAGAACAGUCUUAUAUGAAGAAUUGUCCUGCCCUAGAAGAAAAAAAAAUGUCCCACCCAAAUGCCAAAAUGUCUGUGCCCCACUGAAAAGCUCCAGCCUCCGUAAGUGGAGGCAGUGAGUAGGGAAGGGCUGAGACAGAUGCAGGUCAGGCACCAGCCCUCACUCCUGCCACAUCCAGCUUGUAGGGCUGUGCCAGGGAGCAUGGGGAUGUGCCCAGGCCAGCGCCUGGCAUGAGCACAUGUUGGGGUCCCCAAGGCGUGCCUAAGGGGCGCUUUGGCCAGAGCACUGUGGCAAGGUCUGAGACUGGCAAAGAAUGACCCCGGGGACUGAGCAGUGGAUGCAGGUGGAAACAGAGUGCCUCUGAUUUUCCUCUGACCUUCUUGCCUCUCUUCAAAGCCUGCCUGGCCCUCGGAGGCUGCCCAGUGCAUCAUAGUACAUCCCACGGUGGCUCCCCAGAUGGAUUCUGACUCAGCAGCAGACGCAGCAGGGCAGGCAAAAGGAUGUGGGGGAAACCUCACUGUGGCUCAUCACCACGUCCAUCUGCCUCACCAAGUUCCCAGCAAGGAGUCGGCCCUGAUGGGUGUAUUCCUCAGCCACAGCUCCUCAGUGGGCCAGCAAGGUGACUCGAAGGGCCUCUGCCACCUCUAAGAUUGGGGAACAGGAAAGAUGGACCUGGCCCCACCCCAGCCUGCGGGUCACCACCCAUGGCGGGACAAGUGAGAAAAGUUGGCCUUGCUCACCGCUGGAGCCCAAACCACAGGUUUCAUUUCCCCUUGAUAAAGACAAUGUUUGCUAUUGUUGCAUCUGAUGGUAAAAGCAAGUCAUAUUCACUAUCAAAAAGUUUGAAAGGCGGCCGGGCACGGUGGCUCACACUUGUAUUCCCAGCAUUUUGGGAGGCCGAGGCAGGCGGAUCACAAGGUCAAGAGAUCGAGACCAUCCUGUCCAACAUGGUGAAACCCCAUCUCUACUAAAAAUACAAAAAUUAGAUGGGCAUGGUGGCGUGCACCUGUAGUUCCAACUACUUGGGAGGCUGAGGCAAGAGAAUCGCUUGAACCCGGGAGGCAGAGGUUGCUGUGAGCCCCAAGAUUGCACCACUACACUCUAGCCUGGCAACAGAGCGAGACUCCGUCUCAAAAAACAAAAAAAAAAAGGAAAAUAAGAAUCCAGCCUCAAGCCUGUCACCCAGGAACAAUCACUCUAGUUGGCUGGUGUAUUUCCCUCCAGUCUUUUUUUCAGUGUAUGUAUAUAAACUUUAUUUAUAUAUAUUAUUUUAUAGCCAGCUGCUUUUUUUCUUUUAAUUCUAAAUGAUGGGCUGUUUUUUGUUUUAAAACACUGUAGACCAGCCAAGUGUGGUGGCUCAAACCGGUAAUCCCAGCACUUUUGGAGGCUGAGGUGGGCAGAUCACUUGAGCCCAGGAAUUCAAGACCAGCCUGGGCAACAUGGCAAAACCAUGUCUCUACCAAAAAUAAAAAAAUUAGCCAGGCAUGGUUCCAUGCACCUGUAGUCCCUGCAACUUGGGAGGCUGAGAUGGGAGGAUCACCUGAGCCCAGAGAGGUCGAGGCUACAGUGAGCCAUGAUCAUGCCAUCACACUCCAGCCUGGGUGACAAGAGUGAGACCCUGUCUCAAAAACAAACAAACAAACAAACAAAAAAAAACACAGGCUGGGCACAGUGGCUCAUGCCUGUAAUCCCAGCACUUCGGCAGGCCAAGGUAGGUGGAUCACCUGAGGUCAGGAGCUCAAGACCAGCCUGGCCAACAUGGCGAAACCCUGUCUCUACUAAAAAUACAAAAAUUAGCCGGGUGUGGUGGCACACGCCUGUAAUCCCAGCUACUUGGGAGGCUGAGGCAUGAGAAUCGCUUGAACCCGGGAGGUGGAGCUUGCAGCGAGCUGAGAUUGUGCCACUGCACUCCAGCCUGGGCGACAGAGCAAGACUGCAUCUCAAAAGAACAAACAAAAACAAAAACCACUGUAGACCAAGCAAACUCAACUCUUCCUCCUCCCAUGCAGUGCUCCCUCUGCCUGUUUCCCCACAUCACCUGUGUGAUGGGGAGUGGGGGGGCACACAGCGAGGCUGAGGACUCAUGGAAUGACCCUUGGGAAGCCAGAAUGGGCACGGGUACACAUUUCCAAGCAGGAGACUCACUGAUCUACCCACCCCGGGUCCCCAACCACACUGGGAAUCCCCUCCAUGAACGGGAGGAGCCUCUAUCACACACACACACACACACACACACACACACACACACACACACGGAGACCACAGAGAGAACAUGGGCACCGUGGGCAACUGUUUGAAAAUUUCUGAGCUGCUUCUCAGAUAAAGAGAGCACUCUCAUCUUCCUUGUCCUUCUCCAGAAUCAGCAGAAAUCAAGUUUCUCACCUUCCAAGCUCAGCCAAGAAAUUUCAAUUCCAGUGACGACAGAGCUGGUGUGGGGUGGAUGGUUCCCAUGGGAAGGUGUGGGUCACAGGCUGGGCUCUUAGUACUGGGAAAGUCCCUAGGCCAAGUCAGAAUCCCAGGUGUCCUCCCUGAGCACCUGCUGUGUGCAGGAUGCCAUGCCAAACAUUUUAUGAAUUAGUUCAUCCCAUUCUUGUGACACCUCAGCAGGGGAGGUAUCAGUACCCCCAUUUAAUGGAUGAAGAAAUGGAGGCCCUGCAAAAUUAAGCCACAGGCCAACUUCCUCAUGGAUGGAUCAAGCAUCUGAAGCCAAGAGAGUGGACAUGGCCUGUCCAGACUGGGGACCAGCGCAAGGCAAGGUUUAUCCUGCUGGGCCAGGCCCGGCUGCCUCUCUCAGAGGGCACUGGGGAGUUUGCCCUGGACACAGGCUAGGGGCAAAGGCUCACAUGGACAUGUCGAGUCAGCUGCCAGAUCCUGGGCUCUAGGCCUCCCCAACAUCUUCCCAAUGCACCCAGCUGACUCCUGGAGUCCAGAAAGUCCAAACUGUAGAAGGUCACCCCAAGCGCCCUGGGACUUCGCACUCUGCGCUGGCUGACAUGUGGGGCUGGAAUGGCUUCUUCCACUGGGCGUGUAUGUGGGCGUGGGAAUGGACACAUGUGCUCUGUCUCCCGGCCCAACUGUCCAGUCACAGGCGACAGCAUCUGGGUCUGUGGCAAGUUCAGAGCUCCAGACCUGCCUUCCCCACUGAUGCCCUGUGUGACCUGGACCCGGUCUCACUCCCUCCCUGAGUCCCAGUUGUUCUUCUCUUCUGUGGAAUCCUAACCCUGUGAUUCCUGAAGGGGAGGGACAGUAAAGACACAUUUCUUUCUUUUCUUUUUCUUUUUAAGAGAGAAGAUCUGGCGGCCGGGCGUGGUGGCUCAUGCCUAUAAUCCCAGCACUUGGGGAGGCUGAAGCAGGUGGGUCACCUGAGGUCAGGAGUUUGAGACCAGCCUGACCAACAUGGUGAAACUGUGUCUCUACUAAAAAUACAAAAAUCAGCCAGGUGUGGUGGCAGGCACCUGUAGUCCCAGCUACUUGAGAGAUUGAGACAGGAGAAUCACUAGAACCCGGGAGACGGAGGUUGCAGUGAGCCGAGAUCGUGCCACUGUACUCCAGCCUGGGUGACAAAGAGAGACUCUCUCAAAAGAAAAAAAAAAGGAGAAUCUGGCUAUGUUGCACAGGCUGGAGUACAGUGGCUAUUCACAGCACCAUCCCACUACUGAUCAAU